CACGUAGGCGGAUCGUUAAGUCAGGGGUGAAAUCCCGGGGCUCAACCCCGGAACUGCCUCUGAUACUGGCGAUCUCGAGUUCGGGAGAGGUGAGUGGAAUUCCGAGUGUAGAGGUGAAAUUCGUAGAUAUUCGGAGGAACACCAGUGGCGAAGGCGGCUCACUGGCCCGAUACUGACGCUGAGGUGCGAAAGCGUGGGGAGCAAACA
rnacentral:rRNA from 1 species